rnacentral:rRNA from 1 species
AUUGAACGCUGGCGGCAUGCCUUACACAUGCAAGUCGAACGGCAGCACGGGUGCUUGCACCUGGUGGCGAGUGGCGAACGGGUGAGUAAUACAUCGGAACAUGUCCUGUAGUGGGGGAUAGCCCGGCGAAAGCCGGAUUAAUACCGCAUACGAUCCACGGAUGAAAGCGGGGGACCUUCGGGCCUCGCGCUAUAGGGUUGGCCGAUGGCUGAUUAGCUAGUUGGUGGGGUAAAGGCCUACCAAGGCGACGAUCAGUAGCUGGUCUGAGGGGACGACCAGCCACACUGGGACUGAGACACGGCCCAGACUCCUACGGGAGGCAGCAGUGGGGAAUGUUGGACAAUGGGCGAAAGCCUGAUCCAGCAAUGCCGCGUGUGUGAAGAAGGCCUUCGGGUUGUAAAGCACUUUUGCCCGGAAAGAAAUCCUUGACUCUAAUACAGUCGGGGGAUGACGGUACCGGAAGAAUAAGCACCGGCUAACUACGUG